CCUACGGGGGGCUGCAGUCGAGAAUCAUUCACAAUGGGGGAAACCCUGAUGGUGCGACGCCGCGUGGGGGAAUGAAGGUCUUCGGAUUGUAAACCCCUGUCAUGUGGGAGCAAAUUAAAAAGAUAGUACCACAAGAGGAAGAGACGGUUAACUCUGUGCCAGCAGCCGCGGUAAUACAGAGGUCUCAAGCGUUGUUCGGAAUCACUGGGCGUAAAGCGUGCGUAGGCUGUUUCGUAAGUCGUGUGUGAAAGGCGCGGGCUCAACCCGCGGACGGCACAUGAUACUGCGGGACUAGAGUAAGGGAGGGGGAACCGGAAUGCUCGGUGUAGCAGUGAAAUGCGUAGAUAUCGAGAGGAACACUCGUGGCGAAGGCGGGUUCCUGGACAUUAACUGACGCUGAGGCACGAAGGCCAGGGGAGCGAAAGGGAUUAGAUACCCGAGUAGUC
rnacentral:rRNA from 1 species